rnacentral:rRNA from 1 species
GUGCUCGAGUGGCGAACGGGUGAGUAACACGUGAGUAACCUGCCCUUGACUUUGGGAUAACUUCAGGAAACUGGGGCUAAUACCGGAUAGGAGCUCCUGCUGCAUGGUGGGGGUUGGAAAGUUUCGGCGGUUGGGGAUGGACUCGCGGCUUAUCAGCUUGUUGGUGGGGUAGUGGCUUACCAAGGCUUUGACGGGUAGCCGGCCUGAGAGGGUGACCGGCCACAUUGGGACUGAGACACGGCCCAG